UACGUAGGGGGCUAGCGUUGUCCGGAAUCAUUGGGCGUAAAGAGCGCGUAGGCGGCUAGAUAAGUCCGGUGUGAAAGUCACAGGCUCAACCUGUGAAUGCCGCUGGAAACUGUCUGGCUAGAGUCCGGAAGGGGCGAGUGGAAUUCCUGGUGUAGCGGUGAAAUGCGCAGAUAUCAGGAAGAACACCCGUGGCGAAGGCGGCUCUCUGGAACGCAACUGACGCUGAGGCACGAAGGCCAGGGGAGCAAACGGG
rnacentral:rRNA from 1 species